GAUGAACGCUGGCGGCGUGCUUAACACAUGCAAGUCGAACGGAAAGGCCCCAGCUUGCUGGGGUACUCGAGUGGCGAACGGGUGAGUAACACGUGGGUGAUCUGCCCUGCACUUUGGGAUAAGCUUGGGGAACUGGGUCUAAUACCGAAUAUGACCACUUCUUGGAUGUUGUGGUGGAAAGCUUUUGCGGUGUGGGAUGAGCCUGCGGCCUAUCAGCUUGUUGGUGGGGUAAUGGCCUACCAAGGCGGCGACGGGUAUCCGGCCUGAGAGGGUGUACGGAAACAUUGGGACUGAGAGACGGCCCAGACUCCUACGGGAGGCAGCAGUGGGGAACAUUGCACAAUGGGCGCAAGCCUGAAGCAGCGACGCCGCGUGAACGAUGAAGUCUUUCGGGAUGUAAAGUUCUGUCAGCAGGGACAAUGAUGAUGGUACCUGCAGAGGAAGGACCGGCAAACUAUGUGCCAGCAGCCGCGGUAG
rnacentral:rRNA from 1 species